rnacentral:rRNA from 1 species
UACGGAGGGUGCAAGCGUUAUCCGGAAUCACUGGGUUUAAAGGGUGCGUAGGCGGUGGUGUAAGUCAGUUGUGAAAUUCCCUCGCUUAACGAGUGGGACUGCAAUUGAUACUGCGUCACUUGAAUCAGGUUGAGGUAGGCGGAAUGUGGCAUGUAGCGGUGAAAUGCUUAGAUAUGCCAUAGAACACCGAUUGCGAAGGCAGCUUACUGGCCCUGUAUUGACGCUGAGGCACGAAAGCGUGGGGAGCAAACAGGAUUAGAUACCCUGGUAGUCCACGCCUUAAACGAUGUUUACUUGCUGUUCCUGAUUUAUUUGGGAGUGGCGGAGCGAAAGCGUUAAGUAAACCACCUGGGGAGUACGCCGGCAACGGUGAA